rnacentral:lncRNA from 1 species
GUAAAGCAGAAAGCUGCAUCAGAAACAAGGUGUCCCUUGCCCUCCCAUCACCCUUAGAAAGGUUAAGUGUUGCUGUACCCUGACUGCUGGUUUUUGUGCAGGUCCCGUGCUUUGGGCUCCCUAGGAUGCCCGUGAAUAUUCCUUUCCCGUCCCUUGCUUCAUGCUCAGAUGAAGCCGGGGUGCUUUUAGCUGGGAAAGACCUGAGUCCUUUUCCUAUUUCCCAUUCCUCUGUCCGUUCUCUUACUCCCCUGGGCUGCAGGGUCGGGCAGGGGACUGGGGCAGCGGCCGGGUGCGCUGCCCAGGGCAGCCGCCCUCCCUCCAUCUCCCACGGCCCCGCAGGAGAAACUUUUCCCGCAGGAUCCCGACCCCGCUCCCGCUCAGCUCGCAGGGGCUGAGCUGCCUCCAGGAUGCAGCACCCCCGGGAGGGCUGCUCGGGCCGGGCCAGCCCCGCCGCCCCCCGCCCGGUGCCCGCCCGGUGCCCGCCGAGCUCCGCGCCGUAGGUGACCCCCGGGGGUGGGCAGGGGCCGGGAGCGGCCGGGGGAGGGGGCGAGGGGCGGGGAGGCCGGGCUCGGGGGGUCGCUGUCAGCGGCGCUCUCGGGGCACGGCUCGGCACGGCACGGCUCGGCUCGGCACGGCACGGCUCGGCUCGGCACGGCUCGGCUCGGCUCGGCACGGCACGGCACGGCGCGCCAUGCUCCGCAGCGGCCCCGGCGCGGGGCUCGUCCUGGCGGCGGCCGCGGCGCUCUGCCUCGGCGGGGCGGGAGCCAAGGUGUACUACUCCUGUGGUGCAGUGGUGGAAUCAAUGGAAAGAGGCCUGAUUUUGUCACCAGGUUUUCCAAACAACUACUACCCAGGGACGCACUGCGUCUGGCAGUUCUUCAUUCCCAUGAGGACCCAUCUCAUCCUGGAAAUAUUUGACUUUGACAUUUUUGAGAGCUCCAGUGAAACUCCAGCCCCCUGGGAUGGCUUCUCAGCCCCUGCUACAACAGAAAAUAAGGACAUGCCUUCUCUUGAGGAAAACCUGGGCUUUGCUGUCCACACCACAAAACCUUCUCUCCAGAGCUCGACGUCGAAGGGGGCUCAGAACCUGAGCAGCACUGGAGACCAGUCAAAGAACCUUGCUGGUCACCUGGAGGAACUUCCAGGAGCCAUCUCCAAAAAAAAUGAAGCCAAGCAAGCAUCUGAAGAAAACCAGUGGAAGCAGAUGAAGGAACCCAAAGCAAUGACCAAGGCUCAGCCAGAGGAGCUGCCGUUGCCCGUGGCUGGUAGUGCCUCAAUGCAGAGGCAGAACACCAGUGGCCUGGAAACAGGAGAGGAUGUGGAAGGGAAGGUGUUGCUUGCCCACCUGGCUGCUGGUGAGAGGGAUGAAGUCACAGCAGAGAGCUGGACACUUCCCUCAACAGCACUGCCCAUGGAAAUCUCCUCCAGCCCUCAGCCAGCAGGGGAUGUCUGUCCCCAUGAUGUGUUGUAUGUUUCCGAUCUCAUCACAUUUUCCUCUCGCUUCUGCGGCCCAAAUUCCCCUGUAAACAAGACCAUGGUGUUUGGUUCAUCUCUGGAGAUGGUGGAGGUCAUCAUGGAGCUGAUCACGACCACGGACCGCGGCCGAGGCUUCGCGAUGCUGUUCGAGUACAGGAACAUCAGCGAGCCCGGCCCCGUGGGUGCUGUGAGGCAGGACAGGAGGGAAAACAUGAUGCUGCUGGCAGUUGUGACAGGGAUUGUUGUCUUUGCUCUUGCUUUGCUCUCUGCCCUCUGCGUAGCCUGCAGGCAGAGAACGUGCCCCAAAAGGAGCUCAUCCAACGCAUGCAGUGACCAGGAGAACAGGAUCCAGAACUCCACUGUCGAUAUCAAUGAGCUCCAGCUGGUGGUGCCAAGCCGGGAGAAUGAGAACAACAACCACUCUGUGAGCCGGGAGCAGGCGGUCACUUCCUGCAGAGGCAGCACAGAACGGUCUCCUCAGGACACUGACCCAGAUGUGCCCUCCUCCAUCUCUGCCGUGACCACUGAGACUGGGAGUGAUGAAGUGUUCAUCAUUUCUGCUGGACCUGGGACCAGUGGGCUGAGCUUUACCACCUACAGGAUACAGGACAAAAACCUGAAAAGGAGCGUGACAAGCCCGGGCUCUGUGUCGGACUGGCUGAGCUCCCAGCCCGCGGCUGCAGGGGCUGCGGAGAAGGGGAACGUGCAGCUGGAGAAUCCCUGUCCCCGGCAGCGCACCUGGAGCGCCCGCACCUUCCACGACCUCCUGGCUCCCAUCCCACAGCUGCAGAAGAAAUGGUGCAGCUGGAGCACCAACAGCCCCUUCACAAAGCUGGUGGACAGCAGUGGUUUUUCUACAGCUGCAAGGCCCCAAGGUGUUCCAACCAGAAAGGUAAUCUCAGCCACUGAGAUAGAGGGAGCAUCAGAGACUAUUUACUCUGAUUCAUCUGCCAGCAAUGCCUCCUAUCCCCUCACUCUGUCUGCACAGAGGCAGCGAAAGAUAACCUCCUGCAAUUUGAAGAAAUCCAGAUUUGGGAACCCUUAUUUUGGAUUUUUAGCCAGUUCCCCUGACAGCAAACAUAUGAGGUCCUUGGAUCCCUCAAGACAUCUAGGGGCAGCAUCUCCAGUUAACAACCAAAGCCCCAAAAAUCUUCUAGAGAGCUCCAACCCACUGAAAAUCAACUUGGUCAACGGUUCGAAAACAAAGGAGCUUAUGGUAGAAACAGAUAAAAACAAACCAGUUUUUGUUAUUUCUGAAGAAGGGGAUGAUCAGCAGCCUCUGGUCCUGGCAGAACACCUUAGUCAGUGUGGAGAUCACCUGCCAGAGCAAAAUGCUGCGUAUGCUCAGGCCGUGCCAGAGAAGCAGCCGGUGGUUCUGAGUGCGGAGAGGAACAGCUCUGCCCCCUUCACACCGAGCCUUCCCCUCUGGGCUAAAUCCCCCGCGUCGUACAAAGGCCAUGGGAAGGGCCCCAGCUCCUCCAGGGACCAGCAGAGCUCAGCUCUCAGUGUUGGUGGGGAUGCCAACAGUGCUGAGCCCUCCCAGAACUGCGACACCCCCGGUGCUGCCACGCUGUGCCAAGCCUCAGCCCAGUGA